GUGGGGUAUCUUGCGCAAUGGGCGAAAGCCUGACGCAGCCAUGCCGCGUGAAUGAUGAAGGUCUUAGGAUUGUAAAAUUCUUUCACCGGGGACGAUAAUGACGGUACCCGGAGAAGAAGCCCCGGCUAACUUCGUGCCAGCAGCCGCGGUAAUACGAAGGGGGCUAGCGUUGCUCGGAAUUACUGGGCGUAAAGGGCGCGUAGGCGGACAGUUUAGUCAGAGGUGAAAGCCCAGGGCUCAACCUUGGAAUUGCCUUUGAUACUGGCUGUCUUGAGUACGGGAGAGGUGAGUGGAACUCCGAGUGUAGAGGUGAAAGUCGUAGAUAUUCGGAAGAACACCAGUGGCGAAGGCGACUCACUGGCCCGUUACUGACGCUGAGGCGCGAAAGCGUGGGGAGCAAACAGGAUUAGAUACCCUAGUAGUCC
rnacentral:rRNA from 1 species